rnacentral:lncRNA from 1 species
UUUUUUUUUUUUUUUUUAAUUCCUUAGUAAGAAAAUAAGCAUCUUAACAGUCAUUACUGCUCUGGGAAAAUCAAGUCUCCUCUAGACGAUUCCAGGUAUCUGACAUGUACCGUUUUUAUAAUUCAGGACAGAAUGUAGACUGUCAAAUAUAACAAUAUAACUCAUGAAUUCAAAUUUUGUUCUCUCUGAUAUUCCUAAAUGCUUAUUCAGUUAGGACAUAGAAUGGUGUGAAUAAAUGCUACCAGGAGCAUUAAAAGAAAAUGCUGAGUGAAAGACAUAAAAAUCCUAAUUCCAUUAAAAAUUAAUCCCCAAAGACAGUAAGGUUAUGCUGCUAACUAGUGAGGAUCCCAUACUACCAAACCGAGAAGAGCAGAAAUAGAAAAACCUUGAAGGACUAGUGUUACCAUUCAUUUUCUCUUUUUCUCAGUUCAAAAUCUUUGAAUAAUUAAUACAGUAAUACUUCAUAAAUGCAUAUGAACCUACCACCUCUCUUCUCUUGUAGUUUAAUUAGAUGAUUGACUUCAGGCAUACCAUAAAUUAUAAUGACAAUUUAAUUACUUCUGUAAUGUGCACACUUAAAAGAUUUAUAAACAGGAAUAGAAGAGCCCAGUGUACUGAAAAGGAGAAUACCAAAAGCAAGCAAGCACAACCCAGGUUGAGGACAGAGACAGACGAUUUCUGUAAGAGCUGAACCAGAAGGGGUUUCUCAUGCUUCAGUAAACAACUAUUCUAUUGCCUUACAACAGAUUAUUAGCAACCUUCACAGGCUUCUUUAUCACCUUGACUGUCUUUACCAGGAAGGAGUCAGACCUCUCAUAUUUUUGUGGGUGUCAGCUGGGCCACAGAGCCUUUCCAAGAAGUGAAAAGUCACAGACCUUUGAGAGAGUCAGCUCUUGGUUUAAAUCCUUCUUCUGCCACGGCCACCAGUGACUGACAAAGGUAACCUCUCUGGGCUUGAAUUUCUUCCAUUUGUAAAGUGAAGAAAACCCUUAGUUUGCAGAGCUGGGAUGGAAGUUAAUUAGAUAGAUAGUAUGGUGCAUUGGUUAAGAGGCGUACUCUGCCUCUUGUGACCUCUAGAACCCUUAAGCAUGUUAUUUAUUCUCUUAGUGCCUCCGUUUCCCCAUCUAGAAAGUAGAGAUAAUAAUGGCAACUACCUCAAAAGCUUGUUGGAGGAGUUCCAGUUGUUGCUCAGCGGGUUGAGAACCCAACUAGUAUCCACAAGGAUGCAGUUGGACUCGUUUCCACUGAGCCACAACAGGAAAUCCCUUAGCUAAAAUUUUUUUGAUGGAGACCUUUAGUUCUCUUCUCUGCUCGCAUGCUAAACUGGAAAAUGGAAAGAAUGGAAGAUGGGGAAAGGUGAGGUUAUGAGAAAUCUUACAGAGGGGUAUACUAAGUCUGGUAUUCCUAACCAGCUUUAGAUAGUGUGGUUUUAGUAUUCUUCUAAUAAGCAACUGGAUAUGUGCCUUCGUGUGAAUAUUUAGUUGAAGAAAAAUACAUUGAAUUAGAAAGCAUCACUGCCCACCUAUAUCAGAAAACAAACAUUUUACUCUUUUGCUAUUAUGUAUUUUCAUUUGUCCUCUUUUUAAACUUUGCAUGCUAUUAAAAGUUAAGCUUUAUAUUAAUAACUUCACAGAAAGGCUGCAGCCAAAAGUCAUGAAUGCUACACAUUAAUGAGUAUUUCUUAUUGUCAAAGCCAGACAAUCUCAAGUAGUUUAAUAAAAAACUAUCAGCAAUAUUUAUCACUAUGGCAUCCAAGCUACUGUACAUUUGGUUAAAGAUAAGACAAAUAUCUGGCUUUAUCUGCUUUCUACAAGCCAGUUGUUAUCACCCCAGAUUGACUGCAACAGAUAUGCUUUUGAAACACAGAACCUGAACACAGCAUCUCUGAUUCUUCUUCCACCCACUUCUGUGACAGCUUUGGCCAGCAACAGCUGCAACUGAUAUAUUACUCUACUUGUUUUAAGAAUGUGGCAUAAAUAUAGAGAUUAGAUGACAUAAAGCUGGGAAUACUGGACACAGCUCUUAAAGGUUUUCCUGAGCUAGUCAGAAAAAAAAAAAUUAAGAUAUGUGAUGAAAGAAUUUGUAUGUGCCAUCAGUUACUUAGAAAACACAUGGACAAAAAUAUGCUUUCAGUAAUUAAUACAUUAUUAGUGGAGGAGGAGCAUGCAAAAGGUGCAAAGCACCCUAGUGGCUUUAAGACAAUAAAAAUACCAAUAGGACCACCAAGUGAAAUUCUUUAAAUCCCAUGUGCUAGGUCAUUUAUGUCUAUACACGUUAUUUUUAAAAAGAAACUCCCAACAGUCUCAGUGUCACCCAUCUGCAUAGCCCAACUUCAAUUAUUAUUGUAUAUCUUACACAUUAUUAUUGUAUAUCUUUAAUUGGCAAAGAUCAGCAACAGAAAGGAAACAUAUGUCUAGAAUCUUAAAACUAGAAAGACAUCACAUUGCAAGGCUGCUGUGCCAGUAAUUUCCGUUUUCGAGAGUUACACAUGCUUGAACAAUAGUUAUCCUACUA